rnacentral:rRNA from 1 species
UACGGAGGAUCCGAGCGUUAUCCGGAUUUAUUGGGUUUAAAGGGUGCGCAGGCGGGAGAUUAAGUCGGCGGUGAAAUUUUGCAGCUCAACUGUAAAAGUGCCUUCGAAACUGGUUUCCUUGAGUGUAGAUGAAGUAGGCGGAAUUUGUGGUGUAGCGGUGAAAUGCAUAGAUAUCACGAGGAACUCCGAUUGCGAAGGCAGCUUACUAAGCUACUACUGACGCUCAGGCACGAAGGCGUGGGGAUCAAACAGGAUUAGAUACCCCCGUAGUCCCU